ensembl:lincRNA Gm12023 predicted gene 12023
CCCCCCCCCCUUCUCAAAGGCACAGAACCGUGAUCCAAUUGAGAACUUCAACUGGAGGAUUAAGAGAUAUCCCAGGCUCCCCAUUCUUGGUAUGGCACCGGCCUCAUCUUUGGAAGGUCUCAGAUGCUGUCUGCUAACAUUUGGGUUGGCAGAGAUAAGGACCAGCAAUGGUAAUCCAUUUCAAAGGUUUCAUCUCAUACUGAAAGGAUGAUGGACCUCCUCACCCUCAGGCCAGAUACCAAUCCUGUAAGACACUGAUCAUCAGAAGGAUAUCAUGGCCACACAAGGAUAACAAUCUUCAGAAAACUGAGUCCCAGUUUUCUGCCACUUGUCCCAGAGAUAUUGACAGAGCAUCAGAUAGGAGACGUUAGCUUUGAAAGGACCCACAUGCUGGAAAGAAGAAACAUCCACAAGUUGCCUUCUGACCUUCAUAUGCAUACAUGUGCAUGUGUAUGCACACAAUAAAAUAUGGGCAGCUCUAGGACACUGUGACACUCAGAAGACUCCAAGUUACUAAAUA